rnacentral:rRNA from 1 species
AGUGAACGCUGGCGGCAGGCCUAACACAUGCAAGUCGAGCGGCAGCGGGUUCCCGCGAGGGGAUGCCGGCGAGCGGCGGACGGGUGAGGAACACAUCGGAAUCUGCCUGGUUGUGGGGGAUAACGUAGGGAAACUUACGCUAAUACCGCAUGCGACCCUGAGUCGACGGACUGGGGGUGAAAGUGAGGGACCUUCGGGCCUCACGCGACCAGAUGAGCCGAUGUCGGUAUAGCUAGUUGGCGGGGUAACCGGCCCGCCAAGGCGACGAUCCGUAGCUGGUCU